GGAUCAUUUCAAAGGGGGCUUGUGGGACCAAAACCAGGAGCUUUUAAUGCUGUGACCAAAUUUUAAAGUUCUCCAUAGGAUGCGAUAGCCACUUAAUAUAUAGUGCUAUGUUUUUAUGAGGAGAUAUAAGA